rnacentral:lncRNA from 1 species
GCCAAAGAGCAUCCUUUACAAAGCACCAGCCCACUCUGUGGACACACACAAACUCUGAAAGGAAUAGCUUGCGGCUGAGGGGAGAGGCUAGGAAGAGGUUCGGGAAAGGGUUGCUCUACUCCAGGCUGGACCCCCAGGUGGAGCCACAGAGCCAGCCACCUGUUUGCCUUCUGGCUCAUGGGCCCCAUUGGACCCUCAGUCCCUCAAACACCCUGGACCCUCAGCUCUUUUUUUUAUCCUCCACGUGCCUGUGCCCCACAAUCCAAGCUCUAUUUUUCCCUGGUGACUUUGUUCAGCCCUGUCUGCCUUUCUGUCUAUGGGGCCUGCUGAGUGUCUCCCUCCCUGCGCUCCUCUUGGCUAGUGAAUUCUGCUCUGCCUUGGGCUUCAGUUUCAACCGUUGCCUUUAACUGCCACUGGAAUGCUCCAGCCUUAACAUUCUCAAGGGUUGGUGCCCUGAACCUACAACUGACUAUAAGCUCCUCACCAGGUCUGGGUCCAGCCUUUACUUUCUGGAUGUGCUUAAACCUUAGCAUAUAGACUGCAUAGGGGUACACAGCUAUUUGGUUUUCUUUUAUUUUUUUCCUCAUUGAGUUUAUUGGUACAUUUUAGGUAUACAGUAGUUACAUUCAUCAUUGGUAACAUGUACUUUUACAUGACAGGUCUGGCUCUCAUUUUUUCCCCUUGUCCCUGCCCUCCCUUCACCCCCCCUUCUCUAUUUACAAAAACUUUAUUUCUAUUUUUUGUUUUGUCAUAUUUUUUCCCUUUUCCCUUAUUUCCUUUCCCCUACCCUUCCCACUGCCCCUACACCUUAGCCACAUUCUUAACCAAGUUUCAGGGCACAUGUGGCCAUUCGAACAGGCCCGCAGCCUGUUUCACUUCCUGGUGUCUCACUUGGCCUAACCUGUUAGGCAUCUUAGGACCUCAGUCUGCAGUUGCUCCCAGACAGGUCCCACCCCAUGGCUGUGAAUUCCACCUCUGCACCUGUCCUCUUGGGCUGGGCUCAGACUUGGACAAGGUGGGAAGGCAAUGCUGGUGGUUCCAAGACACUGCAACCUACUUCACCGCCCCUCUGCAUCUUGACAUCACCAAGUGAUCAGCACUCCCCAGACGAACCAGUGCCCUAACCACGAAUCGAUCAAAAUGAUAAUGAGAUUGCACUGGAACAGCAUUUCUACUACUUAUGUAGGAGAUUUUUUUUGAAGAACAGAUGAAACUAGCCCAGAAAAAGAACAACAGAAGUAAGUGAGAAGUUAGAUUUUAAACCAUGUUUUAAGUCAAAAUUUCUGAAACAGCAUGAAACUGGUAGCCAGAGAGACAAAUGACAAAGAGGAGAAAGUGCAGAUGCUGGUUUAUUUUUGCCUUAAGUGCUUUUACUAAAGUGGCAUUUCUACCUGGAGCUUGAAGUAUCUAAAAAAUGCAUCAAAGGUGAAGCAAGAGAAGUGAUCCUGUUAAUGGCCACCACCAUGCAAAGGCUGGGAGGAAGGCAUGACCAAGGGAAGAAUGGAAUUGCCCUUCCUUUCCAAAGUCCCAUUUACUUUGUGUCCCAUCCUAUUGUGAUCAGCUACAUUGCAAGUUUCCUAUUUGUAUUUAAUGUUUUUGUAGUUGGAAGCCUGAGGUCUGCAAGGAGAAAUCUGCAUAUGAUUGGAAGCCAGGGCUCUUUAUCUUCUUUAAAGGUCUGAAGAAAAAGGCAGAAGCUAGUUGGAAGCAUCUCACCUCUGGCAGGGCUGGGCGAGCACAUUCAUUGGUAAUGAGUAUAAACAAUCUUCCCAUGGGCUGAGAGCCUCCUCUCUCUCCUUCCCUCCCAAUACGGUUACCCUGUGGAUCACAAAUGUAAACUCUCAUCUUUGAGUACAGUGAAUAAGUGAUUUUACUUAAUAAAGGUGAAUAAAGUGUAAGUCAUGCAGCCAUGGACACGGAUGGCUUAGUGACCUCCCCCAUGGUGCUUGCUUGGGGGACGCCCCCCCCAUUGGUUGGAAAUGCUAAAAACCAAAGCAAAUGAAGCCUUUGAAGUCUUGCAAACAUGCACCUCACUUUGUGCAGUGAGAAAGUUUUUGAAGUUCUGGUUCCUUUUGGUUUAACAAUUCUUUCUUCAACUCAUUUCUCCCUUCUUGCAGUCAGGAGGAAUCAAGCUGUUCUUUCAACACUUUGAAAUCCCACUUUCCUGACAUGCAAGUCCUACCUUCCACAGAGCAUUAGAGCACAAACACAACAAGUUUUUACCACUUUUUAAGGAUGAUCUUUCAUCCUCUGUCCGGCACCCUGCUUCUCAUCUGCACCUGAGAGUUUAUGUUUCCCAGUAUUCCAUUCACACCCUUGCAGGUAAUCUCUAGGAGGACUAAAGCUUCCUCUAGCUCUUCUCUUUUGAUUUCGACCCCUUACAGGAAUUGCCUUCAACAGCCCCUUCCUGGAAACACUGGUUCUUUCUAGCAGGCACCUCAAAAUCCUUCCAGCCUCUACCCAUUGCCCCAUUCCAAAGUUGCUUCCACAUUAAAAAUAAAAAACAAAAAAAAAUUGAAUCCAGAAGAGGUGUAUUAAUUACCUCCUCACGGAUGGGACACCACAUCUGACACACCCACAAUGUAAAGGAGGAGAGGUUUAUUUUGGCUCACAUUUGGUCCACAGUUGGCUGGCUC